GCCCUCCUUGGGCAUUUUCGCAGUGAGGGACCGGUCCCAGCUCGGGGAGACCGGUCCCCGAGAGCAUUCCAUCUCGGGCAGAAGGAUUUCGCGUUCGGGAACCGGUCCUUGCCUGAGAGACCGGUCCCCGGGAGACCGGUCCUUGUCCGAGAGACCGUUUCCCGAGAGUUGGGUUUUCGGGACUUAGCCAAAUUUCGGCUAUUUUC
rnacentral:lncRNA from 1 species